rnacentral:rRNA from 1 species
CUACGGAGGGUCCAAGCGUUAUCCGGAUUCAUUGGGUUUAAAGGGUCCGCAGGCGGGAAAAUAAGUCAGUGGUGAAAGCCUACAGCUCAACUGUAGAACUGCCAUUGAUACUGUUUUUCUUGAGUAUAGAUGAAGUGGGCGGAAUAUAUCAUGUAGCGGUGAUAUGCAUAGAUAUGAUAUAGAACACCGAUUGCGAAGGCAGCUCACUAAACUAUUACUGACGCUCAGGGACGAAAGCGUGGGGAGCGAACAGGAUUAGAAACCCUAGUAGUCC